rnacentral:rRNA from 1 species
AGCGAACGCUGGCGGCAGGCUUAACACAUGCAAGUCGAACGGGCACUUCGGUGUCAGUGGCAGACGGGUGAGUAACACGUGGGAACGUACCUCUUGGUUCGGAACAACACAGGGAAACUUGUGCUAAUACCGGAUAAGCCCUUACGGGGAAAGAUUUAUCGCCGAGAGAUCGGCCCGCGUCUGAUUAGCUAGUUGGUAGGAUAAUGGCCUACCAAGGCGACGAUCAGUAGCUGGUCUGAGAGGAUGAUCAGCCACAUUGGGACUGAGACACGGCCCAAACUCCUACGGGAGGCAGCAGUGGGGAAUAUUGGACAAUGGGGGCAACCCCGAUCCAGCCAUGCCGCGUGAGUGAUGAAGGUCUUAGGAUUGUAAAGCUCUUUCACCGGAGAAGAUAAUGACGGUAUCCGGAGAAGAAGCCCCGGCUAACUUCGUGCCAGCCGCCGCAGUAACAC